rnacentral:rRNA from 1 species
GUGCCAGCCGCCGCGGUAAUACGGAGGGUGCAAGCGUUAUCCGGAAUCACUGGGUUUAAAGGGUGCGUAGGCGGUCAGAUAAGUCAGUUGUGAAAUACCCCGGCUUAACCGGAGGAACUGCGAUUGAUACUGUUUGACUUGAAUCAGGUUGAGGUAGGCGGAAUGUGGCAUGUAGCGGUGAAAUGCUUAGAUAUGCCAUAGAACACCGAUUGCGAAGGCAGCUUGCUGGGCCUGUAUUGACGCUGAGGCACGAAAGCGUGGGGAGCAAACAGGAUUAGAAACCCCCGUAGUCC